GCUCCGUUGGUCUAGUGGUAUGAUUCUCGCUUAGGGUCCACAACCCUGAGUAACAUUUGCGAGAGGUCCCGUGUUCAAACCACGGAUGGAGCC